rnacentral:lncRNA from 10 species
GUAAUUGCUUUGCUUCCUCUACCUGCCUUUACCAAGAGAUGCCUGGCCAGAAGAGCGAGGAAUUAAAGUACCUGUGGAGGCUGCCCACCGAGUGAAGCUGCAGGCUGCCCAUCCCAUCGCAGUAGCUCCUUAGUUGUCACUUGCACUCUAUCCUGCCACCCUUGUGAAGAAGGUGCCUGCUUCUCCUUUACCUUGCGCCAUGAUUGUAAGUUACCUGUGGCCUCCCCAGCAAUACACAACU